rnacentral:rRNA from 1 species
UACAGAGGAUGCAAGCGUUAUCCGGAGUGAUUGGGCGUAAAGCGUCUGUAGGUGGCUUUUUAAGUCCGCCGUCAAAUCCCAGGGCUCAACUCUGGACAGGCGGUGGAAACUACCAAGCUGGAGUACGGUAGGGGCAGAGGGAAUUUCCGGUGGAGCGGUGAAAUGCGUAGAGAUCGGAAAGAAGACCGGUGGCGAAGGCGGCCUGCUGGGCACUAACUGACACUGAGGCGCGACAGCGUGGGGAGCAAACAGG